ACUUAAAUUGAAGAGUUUGAUCAUGGCUCAGAUUGAACGCUGGCGGCAGGCCUAACACAUGCAAGUCGAGCGGUAGCACAGAGAGCUUGCUCUCGGGUGACGAGCGGCGGACGGGUGAGUAAUGUNCUGGGAAACUGCCUGAUGGAGGGGGAUAACUACUGGAAACGGUAGCUAAUACCGCAUAACGUCGCAAGACCAAAGUGGGGGACCUUCGGGCCUCAUGCCAUCAGAUGUGCCCAGAUGGGAUUAGCUAGUAGGUGGGGUAACGGCNUCACCUAGGCGACGAUCCCUAGCUGGUCUGAGAGGAUGACCAGCCACACUGGAACUGAGACACGGUCCAGACUCCUACGGGNAGGCAGCAGUGGGGAAUAUUGCNACAAUGGGCGCAAGCCUGAUGCAGCCAUGCCGCGUGUGUGAAGAAGGCCUUCGGGUUGUAAAGCACUUUCAGCGGGGAGGAAGGCGGUGAGGUUAAUAACCUCAUCGAUUGACGUUACCCGCAGAAGAAGCACCGGCUAACUCCGUGCCAGCAGCCGCGGUAAUACGGAGGGUGCAAGCGUUAAUCGGAAUUACUGGGCGUAAAGCGCACGCAGGCGGUCUGUCAAGUCGGAUGUGAAAUCCCCGGGCUCAACCUGGGAACUGCAUU
rnacentral:rRNA from 1 species